GGAUCCGAUCAUACCAGCACUAAUAAAUCGGAUCCCAUCUUUACUACGAAAUUACGCGUGCUUGGGCGAGAGUAGUACUAGAUGGGUGACCCCAUGGGAAGUCCUCGUGUUACAUCCC
rnacentral:rRNA from 1 species